rnacentral:rRNA from 1 species
UCGAACGAUGAAAGUCGUUUUGAUAUCUUCGGAUUGAUAAACUUCUGGAUUAGUGGCGGACGGGUGAGUAACGCGUGAGCAAUCUGCCUUACACAAAGGGAUACCUCGUGAAAACGGGAUUAAUACCAUAUGAUAUCACAUCUUCGCAUGAAGAAGUGAUUAAAGAAUUUCGGUGUAAGAUGAGCUCGCGUCCCAUUAAUUAGUUGGUGAGGGUAACGGCCCACCAAGAUAGCGAUGGGUAGCCGAUCUAAGAGGAUGACCGGCCACAUUGGAACUGAGAAACGGUCCAAACUCCUACGGGAGGCAGCAGUGGGGAAUAUUGCACAAUGGGGGGAGCCCUGAUGCAGCGACGCCGCGUGAGCGAUGAAGGCUUUCGAGUCGUAAAGCUCUGUCCUAUGGGAAGAUAAUGACGGUACCAUAGAAGAAAGCCCCGGCUAAUUACGUGCCAGCAGCCGCGGUAAUACGUAAGGGGCGAGCGUUGUCCGGAAUUAUUGGGCGUAAAGAGUGCGUAGGCGGCAAAUUAAGUCAGAUGUGAAAACUAAGGGCUCAACCCAUAGAUUGCAUCUGAAACUGAUAUGCUUGAGUCAAGGAGAGGAAAGUGGAAUUCCUAGUGUAGCGGUGGAAUGCGUAGAUAUUAGGAGGAAUACCGGUGGCGAAGGCGACUUUCUGGACUUGUACUGACGCUGAGGCACGAAAGCGUGGGGAGCAAACAGGAUUAGAUACCCUGGUAGUCCACGCCGUAAACGAUGAGUGCUAGGUGUC